CAAGACCUGGAGAUAUCAGAAGUGAGAAUGCUGACAUGAGUAACGAGAAAUCCUGUGAAAAACACAAUCGCCUGCCAGUGGAAGGCUUUCUGCAUUCAGUUAAUCUACGCAGAGUGAAUCGGUCCCUAAGGAACCCCCGAAAGGGCUGCCGUCCGAUGGGUACACGAAAGUGACAAAGUUGCUUUGACUACUGAACCAUGCCUAGAUCGUCGGAGCGAAUUGGAUGAUCGGGCCGAGGGCUGCCCCCUCUUCCCCUCGCUCUCCUUUCCUUAAUAUUCACCGAUCGGAAGAUCGUCGUGUAGGGACAGAGG